AGCUUUGCGCAGUGGCGAUAGCGUAAUGAAUGAGAUUUUACCGAGGUGCGAUUAUAGCUAGUUGAAAAAAUGGGAUAUUUUAUUAUAAUAUUAAAUAUUAAUUUAAGUUAUUAAUAUUAUAGUAGAUUUUUGUAAGUGUAUUGAGAUA